UCCCCGUUACCGGGGCAGUCUAUUCAGAAAAAUCCAACUGAAUAUAAGGGUUGCGCUCGUUGAUGGACUUAACCAAACAUCUCACGACACGAGCUGACGACGGCCAUGCAUCACCUGUCACCGAGUUCCAAAAGGCACAGUUUGCUUUCGCAAACCUUCUCGGGAUGUCAAACCUGGGUAAGGUUCUUCGCUUAUCCUCGAAUUAAAGAACACGCUCCACCGCUUGUGCGGGUCCCCGUCAAUUCCUUUAUGUUUUAGUCUUGCGACCGUACUCCACAGGCGGGAUGCUUAACGCGUUAGCUUCGCUACUAACCGGGUCGAUACGGUUAACAGCUAGCAUCCAUCGUUUACGGCGUGGACUAC
rnacentral:misc_RNA from 1 species